CCUACGGGGGGCUGCAGUGAGGAAUAUUGGUCAAUGGGCGCGAGCCUGAACCAGCCAAGUAGCGUGAAGGAUGACUGCCCUACGGGUUGUAAACUUCUUUUAUAAAGGAAUACAGUGAAGCACGUAUACUGUUUUGUAUGUACCUUAUGAAUAAGGAUCGGCUAACUCCGUGCCAGCAGCCGCGGUAAUACGGAGGAUCCGAGCGUUAUCCGGAUUUAUUGGGUUUAAAGGGAGCGUAGGUGGGUUGUUAAGUCAGUUGUGAAAGUUUGCGGCUCAACCGUAAAAUUGCAAUUGAUACUGGCAGCCUUGAGUACAGUUGAGGUAGGCGGAAUUCGUGGUGUAGCGGUGAAAUGCUUAGAUAUCACGAAGAACUCCGAUUGCGAAGGCAGCUUACUAGACUGCAACUGACGUUGAUGCUCGAAAGUGUGGGUAUCAAACAGGAUUAGAUACCCCGGUAGUC
rnacentral:rRNA from 1 species